GAUGAAGAACGUAGCGAAAUGCGAUACGUAAUGUGAAUUGCAGAAUUCAGUGAAUCAUCGAGUCUUUGAACGCACAUUGCGCCCCCUGGUAUUCCGGGGGGCAUGCCUGUCCGAGCGUCAUUGCUGCCCUCAAGCACGGCUUGUGUGUUGGGCUCCGUCCCCCCGGGGACGGGCCCGAAAGGCAGCGGCGGCACCGAGUCCGGUCCUCGAGCGUAUGGGGCUUUGUCACCCGCUCUGUAGGCCCGGCCGGCGCCAGCCGACAACCCAUCAUCCUUUUCAGGUUGACCUCGGAUCAGGUAGGGAUACCCGCUGAACUUAAGCAUAUCAAAUAAGCGGAGGA
rnacentral:misc_RNA from 1 species